UGCAAGUCGCACGAGAAAGGGACUUCGGUCUUGAGUAAAGUGGCGCACGGGUGAGUAACACGUGAAUGAUCUACCUUCGAGUGGGGAAUAACUGAGAGAAAUCUUAGCUAAUACCGCAUAAUACCUACGGGUCAAAGCCGCAAGGCGCUUGAAGAGGAGUUCGCGGCCGAUUAGCUAGUUGGCGGGGUAAUGGCCCACCAAGGCGAUGAUCGGUAUCCGGCCUGAGAGGGCGCACGGACACACUGGAACUGAAACACGGUCCAGACUCCUACGGGAGGCAGCAGUGGGGAAUUUUGCGCAAUGGGGGAAACCCUGACGCAGCAACGCCGCGUGGAGGAUGAAGCCCCUUGGGGUGUAAACUCCUUUCGAUCGGGAAGAUAAUGACGGUACCGAUAUAAGAAGCCCCGGCUAACUUCGUGCCAGCAGCCGCGGUAAUACGAGGGGGGCAAGCGUUGUUCGGAAUUAUUGGGCGUAAAGGGUGCGUAGGCGGUUUGACAAGUCUCAUGUGAAAUCUCUGGGCUCAACCCAGAGUCUGCAUGGGAAACUGUCGGGCUUGAGUAUGGGAGAGGUGAGUGGAAUUUCCGGUGUAGCGGUGAAAUGCGUAGAUAUCGGAAGGAACACCUGUGGCGAAAGCGGCUCACUGGACCAUAACUGACGCUGAGGCACGAAAG
rnacentral:rRNA from 1 species